GACGAACGCUGGCGGCGUGCUUAACACAUGCAAGUCGAACGGAAAGGCCCUGCUUUUGUGGGGUGCUCGAGUGGCGAACGGGUGAGUAACACGUGAGUAACCUGUCCUUGACUUUGGGAUAACUUCAGGAAACUGGGGCUAAUACCGGAUAGGAGCUCCUGCUGCAUGGUGGGGGUUGGAAAGUUUCGGCGGUUGGGGAUGGACUCGCGGCUUAUCAGCUUGUUGGUGGGGUAGUGGCUUACCAAGGCUUUGACGGGUAGCCGGCCUGAGAGGGUGACCGGCCACAUUGGGACUGAGACACGGCCCAGACUCCUACGGGAGGCAGCAGUGGGGAAUAUUGCACAAUGGGCGGAAGCCUGAUGCAGCAACGCCGCGUGCGGGAUGACGGCCUUCGGGUUGUAAACCGCUUUCGCCUGUGACGAAGCGUGAGUGACGGUAAUGGGUAAAGAAGCACCGGCUAACUACGUG
rnacentral:rRNA from 1 species